rnacentral:rRNA from 1 species
GUGGGGAAUAUUGGACAAUGGGCGCAAGCCUGAUCCAGCAAUGCCGCGUGUGUGAAGAAGGCCUUCGGGUUGUAAAGCACUUUAGGCUGGGAAGAAAAAGCUUCACCUAAUACGUGAAGCCUUGACGGUACCAGCGGAAUAAGCACCGGCUAACUCUGUGCCAGCAGCCGCGGUAAUACAGAGGGUGCUAGCGUUAAUCGGAUUUACUGGGCGUAAAGCGUGUGUAGGCGGUUCGUUAAGUCGGAUGUGAAAGCCCUGGGCUCAACCUAGGAAUUGCAUUCGAUACUGGCGAGCUAGAGUACGGUAGAGGGCGGCGGAAUUCCGGGUGUAGCGGUGAAAUGCGUAGAUAUCCGGAGGAACACCGAUGGCGAAGGCAACCGCCUGGGCCUGUACUGACGCUGAGACACGAAAGCGUGGGGAGCAAACAGG